CUGACCCCUAACCCCUAACCCUAGACUACACAUCUCAUACCAGUAGGUUAACCCUGACCCCUGACCCUAGACUACACAUCUCAUACCAGUAGGUUAACCCUGACCCCUGACCCCUAACCCUAGACUACACAUCCCAUACCAGUAGGUUAACCCUGACCCCUAACCCUAGACUACACAUCUCAUACCAGUAGGUUAACCCUGACCCCUGACCCCUAACCCUAGACUACACAUCUCAUACCAGUAGGUUAACCCUGACCCCUGACUUUAGACUACACAUCUCAUACCAGUAGGUUAACCCUGACCCCUAACCCUAGACUACACAUCCCAUACCAGUAGGUUAACCCUGACCCCUGACCCUAGACUACACAUCCCAUACCAGUAGGUUAACCCUGACCCUGACCCCUAACCCUAG
rnacentral:lncRNA from 1 species